rnacentral:antisense_RNA from 1 species
UGUAGGAGCUGCCGAAGGCUGCGAUCUUUUGAUCUUGCUUCUAAAAAACAAAGCCAAAAGAUCGCAGCCUUCGGCAGCUCCUACA